CUUUCUUUCUUUAUAUUAGAAAAGCUACCACGGAUGGAAAAGCCUCACUGACGAGUUCUGUGAUCAUUGGAGGCUAAACCAAAGCAGAAGAACCAGUGAGUAGACAUGCAUAAAACCACAACACAGCUUUAGAAAACAAGGCACACCUGUAUUAGCCUUACACCUAAAUUGAAUGCAGCCUGCCAUAAGGGAGGAAUUACAGUCCUUCUAGAGGCCCAAGGUACCUGCAGCUCCCCCUGACCAGUCCUGUCAAAGCCUUGUUUUUGUCAAAAUGCCAACUUGGACUCUGUCUGAGAGUUCUGCUGCCCACCAAGAGGGAUGGACAAAGUUUGUUUAUCCAGAAACUUGGCAGGAGGUGCAGGUGAAGCAGCCUCUGAACAAAAGCAUAUUCUGAGAUCCUGGUGGCUGUUGUCAGAGGAACACAGCAGAGAGGCAAACAGUUUGGGGUGAGGCAGCUGAUAAACAAACAGGGAAGCACAUUCAGGCCAGAGCAAGGGGAAGCCCCUGAGUCUCCUCUAUGUGCUCUCUGGCAAGAUCUACUUUCUGAAGCAUUGACUGGAAAUAGAAGUCUCGCCGGGCUGGCUGGAGCCAGAGGCCCCCACACCUUAUCCCCUUUGGAAUCUGCCAGAGGGCAGGUCUGAGUAUGGA
rnacentral:lncRNA from 1 species